UCCCGCUUAUCACGGGCAGUUCCUUUAGAGUGCCCACCAUUACGUGCUGGUAACUAAAGGCGAGGGUUGCGCUCGUUGCGGGACUUAACCCAACAUCUCACGACACGAGCUGACGACAGCCAUGCAACACCUGUCUCCUCUCCGGCCGAACCGAAGGAGCACUAUUACAUGCUCCCGUAAGAGGGAUGUCAAAAGGUGGUAAGGUUUUUCGCGUAGCAUCGAAUUAAACCACAUGCUCCACCGCUUGUGCGGGUCCCCGUCAAUUCCUUUGAGUUUUAAUCUUGCGACCGUACUCCCCAGGCGGGGUACUUAACGCGUUUGCUACGACACCGAGACUAAAGCCCCGAUAUCUAGUACCCAUCGUUUACGGCGUGGACUAC
rnacentral:misc_RNA from 1 species